rnacentral:rRNA from 1 species
ACCCGCUGAAUUUAAGCAUAUAAGUAGGCGGUGGAAAAUGAACCAAAUGGGAUUCCUUAAGUAAUUGCGAAUGAACAAGGAAAUGCUCAGCUUGAAAAAUGGGGCCUUUGGCUUUGAAUUGUAAUUUUGAAAUGUAUUGCCAAUGGAGGCGCAGGUGCAAGCCUAUUGAAAGAAAGCGUCAACGAGGGUGAAAUUCCUUUUUGUCAUUUGCAGUCCUCCGUGCACGGUAUAUAUUUGACGAGUCACACUCCUCGGCAUUGGAAUGCAAAGUGGGUGGUAAAUUCCAUGUAAAGGUAAAUAUAUUAUUGAGACUGAUAGCAAACAAGUACCAUGAGGGAAAUAUGAAAAGGACUUUGAAAAGGGAAUUAAAAGAGUCUGCAUUUGCUGAACAGAAAGCAAACAGAAUUGAUGUGCUUGGUGAGAUUGUUGUGCCCACUCUGUCAUUUAUGUCGGAUGUGGGUGCGAUGGUUCUUACCUUGAAUGUCAGCUUCUAUUUCUGCAAAUCAUUACCCUUGCACAUGAAUGGUAAUUUGCCUGCGGGUAUUGGAAUGUAUGUGUUUGCAAUGAUUUGUGAUUUGAUGCAUGUGGUUGGUGGACUUUGUAUGUGCUGUUUUGCCAACGGGGAAGGGACUCUUCCUUGAGCACUGCAAGCCCUUGCACAUUGAUGCUGGCAAAAUGUUUCUGCUUGACCCGUCUUGAAACACGGACCAAGG